AGCGUGUGUUUCUUCGUUCGAAGUUGCUGAGUAAGGUAGCUCAAAUCCAACGUCGAGGAUUGAUGGAAGUCAUUUUGUUUCGAAUUUUCCCGAGCACAACAUCAAGCAUAGAAUGAGAACAGCUCGAAAUAAGACAUUCGAGGAAGGAAAUAGAAACUUGAGAAUUUUUUCUAAGAGUCCAAUGGGAGAAAUAUAAACUACGAUGGGCAAGGAAGAAUUACAAGGUUACAAUGAUGGAAUAAAACAGAAUCUGAGUGAUUGUCAAAAGAAGAGGAUUCAAAGAGGAUUGGAUAAUGGAAUGGGAAAUGAACAGAGAGAUAAAGGAGACCUCGGCUGAAAGUUGCUUGAAUUUCAUAAUGGAAGAAAGAAAUAUAUGAAAGUCCCAGUCUAUAUUUAAAGCAAUAAAAAUAAUUUUCGAGUAAAGUAAGAAACUGUAUUUAGGUCCUAUUUUAGCAGCGAAAGUAGAUGUUAAAUUUAUUUCAAGUGUUACUUUACUAGAUAAAGAGUGAUAAAAAUUGUGUCGAUAUAAAACUGUGAGUGUGUAAGUAAAUAACAUUUUUUUCUGUGACUUAAGAAGAGAAAGCAAAACGUCUGAUGAAAUUUGCUUCGUUUGAAGUCGUUCAAAAAAUUUAAUCCAAAAGUGCAAUUGAAGUAAA